GUUUCUCAGUCCUGAGAUCCGAGGAUCCUCUCUGCCAUCAGUUUUUGGAAGCAUCUAAAGGACAACUGGGAACUGCAGUGCUAUGUGGAGAGCUGGCAGGUUUCUCAGCAGGAAGAUUGGCCUCUUUACACUGGAAGACCUCUGUCUGUGGUGUUUGUAUUUCCACUUGUUUUUGACAAGCUGAGUGAAAUAUAUCACAGGUGUGAGAGAUUGGACUUGAGUCCUACCAUGAUUUGGGACAUUUUGUCUCUGCUGCUGCUGUUCCUGAAGCACUAAAUCUUUUGGGCAGUGCUCCUCAGAAGAUGAGAGGGAAAGGAACAGUGCAGACCAAGAAGGACAAGGGGUUGGAGUGUGCAGGAUAACCAGAAAUACCCACCCUGGCUCUGGAGAAAACCUACCCUGCUUCUGAGCACCAGAAGUCCUAAACAUCUGGGGAUCAUUUGAAACUGUAGCUGCUCACUCACUAUGGAAGACAUGAAAGAAGCAGUUAAUGUUUCUUUUCUGGGUGAAAUGAAAUCAUCUACAGACACCAAAUGAGAUCAAGGACCAUUGUGCUCUCAGACUGGAAGAUGUAACCUUUUGUGAAACAUUUAAAAUCAAAACACUCUGGACACAUAAAAGAAACAGAUUUUUCACCUUCCUAGAAAGGAGAGCAGAAGUGAUCGAUCACUGUUGCCAGGAACACUUUGUCAGCAGAACCUCUGGAGGAGCCCAGGUGGAGGACAAAGAAGCCUCAAGAGCUUGUAACAAAGAUGAUGAUGUGGGAAACCAUGUCCCCCUGUUCUCCCAGGUGCCAUCAAGACCAUUGCCAGACCUACCACGUCAGCAGUCCUGCAGACAGUGAGGGGUGACGUGGCUGUCACUCCUUCACCAGCUCAGGCAUUCUCAGAGCUCUGGCUUUGCACCCUGUACUAUUCUGUACCUGUGUUUGGGGACACGGACAUCUCACCAGCACAGAAUCCUUAUUGAAAAGCAGCACAGUAAUGGUAUUUAGAACAUUAUGCAAAGGAAUACACAUCAAAAUACCUGGAAUGAUGGUUCAUCAAAGACUUGAAAUUCACAGUGUUGCCCAGUCCUCUUUUUGGUGAUCUUUUGGAG